rnacentral:lncRNA from 1 species
CAGGAGGGAGAGGGCGGAGCAUCAGAGGGGGCACGGAGCGCCACCGCCACCGCAGAGCCAAACAGGAAGAGGAAAUCACAGACGCCACCUAAUAACUUUUAAAAAUGGAGCUGUACAGAAAAAAGCCUAUAUGAAAAAAACAAACAAAAAGCCUUAUGACCUAUACUGCAGCCUGUCACCAGAGGGCGCUGUUCUCAGAGAGAGGAGGCAGACGGCGUCUAUUCUAGAUACAGUCUAUGAUCAAAACCAGAGGAAACUGAAAAGACCCUCCGAUCAGGAUCUGAAGGUCCUGUUUCUUCCCCUUUCAUCAGGACCGUCUGGGGGUGGGGACCAUAAAAACUUAAAGCCGCCUCACACGCGUUCUUGUGCAACACUACAGGAAGUCCUCAGAAACCCGCGCAGGAAGAGGAAGAUCUGAGAGAGCGAGCGGGGGCACGAGGUGACAGCAGACUGUCAGCGAUAUAAGAGGGCGCUGAAUUAUGGAGGACCUCAAAACCAGUCCUCAAAGAUGAGGCUGAUGAAGUCAAGGAAGUGUGUGUGUGUGUGUGUGUGUGUAAACCAGAGUGUGUCUGUUACCUGCUACAACGUUCAGAGUAAACAAAAGAGGAGCUUCAUGAGGAGAAGAAACCAGAGACAGACUGAGGAGCAGCGAGGAGAACCACAUGAGAAAACUGUUCCUACCUCAUCGAGAAGAUCUUCAUGUCUCCAUGUUCAGAAAAUACAUUUAUAAGAAGUUAAAAUAAACUAAAGUCCAUAUUUGAGUCGACGCAGCAGGAAACUCUGAAACAGUUCAGGUUUCAAAGUUUCAUAAAUUUAUUCGUUAACCUUCGUUAGUUUGAAGAAGUGCUGAGGGUCAAUAUAUCAAUAUAAACAUGAUCAAUAUGCUUUUCAAUAGUCGUCAUUCUGACAUGUUUCGGUCGACUAUAAGAACAGCCAAUGAAAAGGGGAGUGUCUCCGGGUCUGAACCAAUCAUGUUCUGAAUUAGAACCAAGUAUCAACCAACUGCAGCGUGGUAGCAGACAGCAGCUCCACCCAACCAUAGCACUUUAACAGGUGAAGCCGACAGCACUGUUGGUGAGAAACAAAGAAAAUGAGUGCUACCCCCGACAGAAAUGACCAUGAAGGCUCAACAGAUGACCACAUCAAUGUCAACCACAACACUGGCGUUAGGAAAACGUCGGUGGUGUGGAGGUAUUUUGGUUUUUGGAGGUCGGACAUGAAGCAGAGUAAUGUGGACUGUAAAUUAUGUCGAGUCAUUAACAACUUUUUCCCGUAUCUCUGGGCCCUAGGUUGAGGUUUUCUGAACUCUCUUAUAUCUUCAGACUGUGAGUCCAAAACACCGUUAGAUAUUAAAGCACCAUGGUGACGCUAAACCACAAAGAAGACCUACUGAAGGAAAACCUGAACCAGUAGACCCCCCCUCAUCAUCAGGGCACAGGUGUGAUUCACCUGGACGAGGGAUCGACGUCUUUGUUUCCUAAAAUCUCAUGAAUACAGACGGAUCAGAGUCUGAAAAUCUCCAGAAAACUUCAGCUCUGACCGACUCGGUGAUAAAAAGAGCAGAACUUUAAUGAUGGACUCCAGGAUGUGGACUUAGAGGAGCCCUCUGAAGGUCCUCACAUCAGAGCAGAGCUCACACCUUAAACACGAGUCCAAACACAGACGCUUCAAACGGCGCUGAGCUUCAGAGUCACAGCGGGGAGUUCGGUCCGUUUGAGAAGAGAAACCAGAACCUUCAGUCAGCUGAGAGAGAACCAUCAGAGAUGAUCGAAGAAGAAGAAGAUCAGAGACUCUUCAGUUCUUCAUCCUCUCACAGACCAACAUGAAGACUCUUUCAGGAAGUCUGAGAACAUCAUUAACAGACGACGGUCCUUAAAUACAGAUCUGCAGAGAGACGAUCAGCCAACAUGGACGCCAACCACAGACAAGAGCAGAAUGACCCGUGUUCCCAUGAGUCCCCGUGGGCUGACCUGCAGCCGGAGCUUCCUCAACGCCAAUCUGACCCCUAAUUUCCACCGCAUCCAGAACAGCUCUGAUCCGAUUUUCACCGUCCGCCAAUUUCUACCGGAUCAUUUUUGAGGCAAAUUUCGUGGCGGAUUACAGACAGCAGGAAUCAUGAGAACUCACAAGAACCCGCAGAUUCACGUUCAAUCUCACGAUAACGAGUUGUCUCUCUAAAGACAGACACAUAGACAUAUAAGCAGUAGAUUGUGUCCUUCCAGAGGAGGAAAUCUACUUCUAGACUUCUAGAAUCAGCAUCUCCUCAUCCAUGGUGUCAUCGGGGUGAAAUGACGUCUAAAAACCUUUCACUUGUUCGUCUCCGCCCGUUUUGAAAGAAGUCGGUGUAAAUCGACACGUUAACUUGAAUGGUUACGAUCAGCUACGAUCGGAGGAUACGACCUUUUAGGAGACGAUCAGGAUGAAGGUCGGCGGUCACCCUCCCACAGACGGCGUCCUCGACUCUGUUUGACCUGAAGAAAAAUAAGCACCAACAUUUGAUUCCUGCUUUAAACUCGGAGGACGGACCCGGGGGGGGGGACACAUGUUGAUGGUUCUGAAUCCUGCGGCCUGAUCCUGGAGCUCCGCCCCCUCCUCUUAUGUAACCCUGAACUCUGUGAAGUCCUGAUGACAGGAAAUCUGACUGAAGCUGACAACAUGAGCGCCUGUGUUCGAGCUGCCGAAGAUCAUAAAACAGCAAAUACGGGACACCUGCUGUGUGACGAGCAGCUGAGCGCCGCCGGGGGGGGGGGGGGAGGGGUCUUUUCAUGUGCAGUAAAAACGUCUGUCAACAGAAGCAGCAGCAGCUCCAGGAAAAAAGACACAAACAAUCAGAAAGAGGUCUGCUUUCAUACGCCGAGGAGAGAUUAAACCACGACGACCACGAGUCAAGCUGUGGAGGGCGAGGAGCAGCGUCACAUGACCACGGCGUUUCAUCAACGCCAGCAUCUUUCAACAAGGGGGAGGACAGAAAGGUCGUUUUUUUACACGGUUAAGAAAAGGUCAACAUGUCCGUGUUUCAGACUCUGAGAGGAGCUGGUCUGGGUUUAAAGAUCCGGUCCUGCACCAAGGGGGGGCAGAGGAGAGGUGGGCGAUAGAUGUGGUCUAUAUCAGCGGUUCUCAACUGGUGGGUCCCGACCCAGAAGUGGGUCACAGACACGUUCUGGAUGGUCGCAAACAGCUGGUCAAAAAAGUAAAUAUUUGAUACUCAUCUGAUGUUUGACAUGUGUUUUAUUUUGAAAAAUAUCUUAUUUUGAAAGGCCCGGGUUAUGUCAUCAGUUUCUUAUUAAUAUGUCCUGAAUGAAGUAAAAAUACAGGUUUUUUAUUUUUGUCUUUAUUUUGUUUAUUUGAUAUUUUCUGUUAAAGUGACUUCAGUUGUUAAAAAGUGCUUCUGGGCAGUGUAUAUCAGGUCCAACUAUCAAUAUCCUUAUUGAUCCCAAUAGUUAUUGAUUUUCAGUUAUUGGUCAAACCCCUAAAGAGUUAACUGCAUUUAUACCGAUUAAAAAAACAAAAUGGAUGAUGGGAAAUUUCUGAUGUUUUCAGUCACCGUCCUCUAACUUCAAUGUUUUUAACAUCUUUGUUUACAUGAAACUGUUUCAGGACCGACUUUGAAAUGUGGUAAAAAAUCAAUCAAUACACGAUAUCCUGAUUGAUUAAUAUUCACCUGUAACACUCACAGCUUCUCUUGUUUUAAAUCUGCAUGUAGACGAACGAUGGAGGAUCAGACCGAUCACAAUCCUCCACCUGAGAUCGGAUCACCAACAUGUCAGUACUUUAAAUCAGAGCGAAUCGGCGAGUUCCUGUUUGAUGGCGUGUUAUUGACCCCGUCAGACGCCACACGCUCCGAUCGUCUCCGCUCUUCCUUCACUUUGAGAAAAUCUGUCGUCUCGGUAAAGUGUCAGACUUGGGAAAACUCGCUCUGCUCACACCUGAGAGAAUGAACGCCGCUGAACUCGUGGAGGAACGGAGAGUUCUCGUCAAACUUCCACAGGAAACAGAUAACCUUCAUCGACAUUCGCUCACUUCCUCUCAAACACACACGCCGUCCGCCAUGUUUGAUGUGACAGGACGAUCAAACGUGAAACUGACCACAGACUCUGACAUCUGAAACAUCUGUCUGUGCGGCGGAUCAGGCCGUAGAAAAUAAUGAAUAGAUGUCGAGUUUAUCAAAGCAGACAUCCUCCUUGAACUUUAAUCACGCCGCUCAUAUUUCCCAGCAUCCCACGCGUGGAGCUGCAACAAGCGAAGGGUUAAUUAAAUCACUUUAGGUCUUUUUUUUUCCAUCAAAGUCCUGCAGCAGGAAAUACGUUUGUGAACAAAGGAGGAGAGGCUGCGGCGCACGUCUGAGACGAGCCCUGAAUGAAAUCAUAAAGCCAAUUUUAUCCGGAGAAUAAAGCCCAUUAUCAGAGAGGACAAAUACGCCGCAGAGGGCUUUACCGCCGCCGCCACCGCAAAGAGCCGCCACCACAAUACGAGCACACAAAGAGCCGCCAGCCUUCGAAUGUUGUCAGAGACGGAAAAAAGGACGGCGAGUAGGCAUCAGAUUAAAACGGCGAGAAGAAGAGCGAGAAGCUUUUCUGUCUCUGCAGCGAAAACAGACGGAAAACACAGAAUCAGACCCGGUUUCAUGGUUCUGCUGAAGUCCAACAGUGAGGAGGUUUUUGUUUCUGAGGUUUGAGAGGAGGUUCAGGACGAGGAGAUGAAGGUCCAGGAUGAACCUUCACCGAGGUCCAGAUCAGGACCGAGUCCCAGUCUGGUCCGUCUUUGUCUCAGAACAUCAGUCCUAAAUAAACGGGUCAGUCAGUCAGUCAGUCAGUCAGUCAGUCAGUCAGUCUCCUCACGUAUGUUUUACAGAAAUAUCAGAGUAACUUUCAAACUAACUUAAAGAUGUUAAAAUCUAUAAAUCUAAAAAACAACAUCUGAGCUCCUGAUGAACCACAGACUGAACCAGGUCUGAUCCAGAACAAGUCCAAAAACUGAUCAGGGUUCUGGACUGAAUCACUGAACUCCAGGUGGGGCAGGAGUACGGAGUCAGAUUAGGGUCAAAAUUCAUCAAACUCAACUUCUUCAAAAUCAAACAAGAAAAUAAGAAAUUAAGAGAAAAAAAAAAAAAAUCACUGAAGCAAAAAAAAGUCAAACUUGUAACUUAAAAACUAAUUAUUUGUGUAAUUAUGUGUUUAAUAAAAGUAAGAAUGAGAUUCAGACACAGAGGAGAAGCUGUCAGAACCAGAACCAGAACCAGAACCUCCGUUUUCAGGGUCUCUGUGAACAUUCGGCUGAAAAAGAAACCUCUCUUUCUCUAAAAUAAUCAGACUGAAACUGAACCUCAAGAGGAUCAGAGGUCAAAGGUCAGGGCUGCUGCGCCUGAAUAUUUGUCCUGCAGCUUAAGUGCAAUCAUCCCGCGGGUCGGGCCGAGCCGGGCCGGGCCGAGCGGAGCGUGGAGAAAUCCUGAGAUUAUAUGAGCGAGGAGGAGAAAAUGACAGGAUGGACUUUUCUUCUCUUCGAGGGAUUUUAAGAGAAAACGGAGGAGCAGGAGAAGAUGAGGCAGAGAGGAGACCAGUGGACAGGAGGUGGACCUACAACCGGGUCAGAACCAGCACAAAGAAGAAGAACACGACCCAGAACGGAGGAGGUGGACCAUGGCCCGGAGCUACGAGGAGGACUGAGGAGAUCUUUGAAGAUCUGAGGUCCUGAGUGUGAGAAGACUGGAGAAACACAGAAGAAGGAGGAGAAGAAGUGGGAGGGAGAGGGAGACGACUGAGGGUGAGGAGGACUGAGGGUGAGGAGGACUGAGGGGGAGGAGGACCGAGGGGGAGGAGGGGAGCUGGACCGAGGAGGAGAAAAACACAGAGCGGGCAUUAAAAACUAAAGGAAGGAAGGAAGGAAGGAAGGAGGAUAGGAAGGAAGAAAGGGGGAAAAAGGAAGGAAGGAAAGGAAAGGAAAGGAAAGGAAAAGAAGAAAGAAAGAAAGAAAGAGGGAGAGGGCCGUUCUCCUCAAACAGACUGAAGGUCUUCACGUUGGUAAAAGUCGACUAACUUCAUAAUAAACAUUAAAACUAACAGAGUUUAUUUUAACAAAGUCUGGAUCUGAUUCAGGUCUGAGGAAACACUUCAGCCUGUUUCAACCUCCUCUGAGGAUUCUAGUUUUACAGACAUGUUUUUCCUUUGUCUCUGUAAAUCUACAUUUAUGCCUCUGACUGUCCUCUCCUCUGUCCUCACGAUUGGACCGUCCCUCGUCUCUCCACCUGCAGACUCCUGAUUUUUCAUCGUAGUUUGUGAUAAAGUCAGACCUUCAGCUGCUGUCAGUCUCCUUCCUGUCAGACUCCUGAUGGUAUUAAACCACAUAAACUCUUUAUCUAAACUCUCUCUCAGUCUUCACUCUGAUGUUCAAACAUGUUUGUUGUAAUAAACCCUAAAAUCAGCCCCUCUGUCCCCCAGAGCUGUAAAACAUCAUUAUGGAGUCGAUCUCAGGUUUCUGCUCCUUCAGUUAAAGGCGGGCGGACUGACGCUGUGUCGUCAAAAAUUUACUUAAAAACUCCGAACUCGCCCGACUCUGCGGCGGUUUCCUCCUGCAGCAGCAUUUCCCUUCUCCUCCAUGUGGAACAAAACUCCUCUGGGGUGGAAAAUUGAAAUUUUAACAGCAGCAAAUCACUGUCUCCGCCUUCCUCCCCUCAUCUGCAGUAAGACAGUAAACUGACAGAGCAGCGUGCGUGCGUGCGGGCGGGCGUGCGGCGCUGAAAAAACAACAAAUGGGCAGAUCUGAUGAUUACGGGACGGCGUGGAGAAAUUUAAAGCAUCAGACGAGUCCUGAAACGGAUCCUGAGCCGCUGUAGGAGUCUGUGGGUCUGAAUACCUGAACGACUUCUUUAACCUGACGAAUAUGAGUGUGACCCCGCCCCCACACACAGUCAUGGGGUCGACAUCAGGGCGAGACACGGCGAAUAACUCCCCCCCCCCCCGGUUUAUUUGAGCAGAGGUAGUUUGUGUGUGAAGACAGCAGAGUCACAGAUAUGAGUGCGUACAGAUGGACGGAUCUGCAGCCGGGGCUUAUGGGACAGAUGGUUCCUGUGAUGUCAGAGCGAGGGGGGGCGGCGGCGGCGGCGGAACAUCCCAAACCGUGCAGAACCGUUAAAAUCGCAUGUGAGUCCAUUUCUAUUUCUGAAUGUGUGUCAAUGAUUUUACUGACGAAAGUGUGUGUGUGUGUGUGUGUGUGUGUGUGUGUGUGUGUGUGUGUGUGUGUGUGAGUGUGUGGUGGGGGGGAUUACAGGGGGGUUAUGGCCUAAUGCCUUUAAUGGACCCCCCCCCCCCUUCAUCCAAACCGCGGACUGUUCCUUUAAAUAUGAGCCUGGUCGUUCUCCACAGGUGAGCAGAGGUUACCUGUAUAAGAACAUCUGUCAGCAGAAACAUCACCUGAGAUCAGAUCAUGUGACGGACAGACGGACAGGCGGAAAAUCUGCCUCAGAGUUCAGCCUGUAAAUGUUUCUGUCCUUUUAAACUCUGAAUCCUCGUCAAACACAAAGAGAACAGAUGGACGAGUUUAGACCAAUCAGAGACUGUUCAGGAAUCCUGGAGCAGGAGAGGACAGACGGACGACACCACUGUAGGACAACAUGACUGUAGGACAACUCUAAUGUAGGACAACUCCACUGUAGGACAACUUCACUGUAGGACAGUAUCACUGAAGGACAACAUCACCGUAGGACAACAUCACUGUAGGACAACAUUACUGUAGGACAGUAUCACUGUAGGACAGUAUCACUGAAGGACAACAUCACCGUAGGACAACAUUAAUGUAAGACAACAUCACUGUAGGACAACAUUACUGUAGGACAACAUCACUGUAGGACAGAAUCACUGUAGGACAGUUUCACUGUAGGACAGUAUCACUGAAGGACAACAUCACCGUAGGACAACAUCACUGUAAGACAACAUCACUGUAGGACAGAAUCACUGUAGGACAGUUUCACUGUAGGACAACUCUAAUGUAGGACAACAUUACUGUAGGACAGUAUCACUGUAGGACAGUAUCACUGAAGGACAACAUCACCGUAGGACAACAUUAAUGUAAGACAACAUCACUGUAGGACAGUAUCACUGUAGGACAGUUUCACUGUUGGACAACACCACUGUAGGACAACAUCACCGUAGGACAACAUUAAUGUAAGACAACAUCACUGUAGGACAGUAUCACUGUAGGACAGUUUCACUGUUGGACAACACCACUGUAGGACAACAUUACUGUAGGACAACAUUACUGUAGGACAGAAUCACUGUAGGACAGUCUAACUGUAGGACAACUCUAAUGUAGGACAACACCACUGUAGGACAACUUCACUGUAGGACAGUAUCACUGAAGGACAACAUCACCGUAGGACAACAUUAAUGUAAGACAACUUCACUGUAGGACAGAAUCGCUGUAGGACAGUCUAACUGUAGGACAGAAUCACUGAAGAACAUCACUGUAGGACAACACUACUGUAGGAUGACAUUAAUGUAAGACAGUUUCACUGUAGGACAGAAUCACUGUAGGACAACAUGACUGUAGGACAGAAUCACUGUAGGACAACAUGACUGUAGGACAACAUUACUGUAGGACAACUCCACUGUAGGACAACUUCACUGUAGGACAGAAUCACUGUAGGACAACAUCCCUGGUAUUCUGAUGAACUCACUCCUCAUGAAAACAGAAACUGUAGAAAUAUCCAGACUGUCACAGAAACCAACGCAGCUUAUCGCCAUGGAGACGCCGUUCUCACAGAGCCAGUGGGUUUGACCUUUUGACCUUUUCUGUUUUUAGGGCUGACUUUGUAAACACAACAGUAUGGUCAUGUCAGACACGAAGGCCCUGAAUAUCAGAGCGGUCCACAUGGUCAGAACCACUUCAGGUUGUUGGACUGAGUGGACAUGAAGCCCACUGUCCACCUUCAGACCCCCGUCCUCUGAGAGAACACAGACGUCUGUUAUUCAGAGACAUGACCUGUUGGUGGGAUCAGUUCAUUGUUACUCUUGGUCAUUUCCUGGGAUUGACAGAGAAGAAGGAAAUAUUAUAAAUAUGUGUAACAUUAGCAGAGUUAUCUGUUCUGAACAGCUUGGACCCGUACUCUCCUGCUUUCUGCUGCAUAAAUACAUAAAUCAGGAGACGCGGCGGCGGCGGCGGUGCCCUACAGAAUAUUAACGGAGCCAGCUGCUGAGCUCACAUGGAGCAGAUGUAGCCGACUUGUCAUGUUGCUGGAUCCUCGUGUUAAAAUGAGCUCUGCAGAGAGCGGGGAAUAUUAGAGUCAAUGGGAAAUUCACAACCCGGAGUUAUUGCAAAACAGCAGCAGACUGAUCUGAAUAAGAAUAAUUCAGUUUAGGCGUGGAAUAAUGUGGCAUAACUGUGGGCUGUGGGCGCUUCAAUACAGAUAUUUCACAGCUGUGAAAUACGUCAACCACAGAAGAAACUGUCAUUUAGCUUCAGCGUUUCUGUAUCAAAGUGACCGACGAACAUUUCAGACACCAACAAUGACUGAUGAAACAUAGAUCCAACACGCCGUCACAUCUUUAACAAUCUCUUUGUGUUCAGGACAAGUGCCAUCGAGGCGUCCUCGAGAAAAUCAAGCUCAGAACUUCAGACGAUCUCUCCUUCUGCAGAGACGGCGCCGUACUCACACAGCGGGUCAAGACUUAAGAGAGAGUCAUCUCAACUCUCCUUUUGUUGGAUUUUUAAAGAACCGAACGGCUCCUCCUCCUAUACAUCCAGGAAGUGGAUUAUUAAAGAGGAGCUUUAAUUUGAAAAUCUAUAACUGUCAGCUCAAACCCAGAUCCAGGACAACAUCGUGAAAACACUCAGUGACUCCGUUUAAAAAGAAGAUCUGAUGAUGGUUCUGUGUGUUUGAACAUCUAUAUUAUAUAAUGUCAGUUAUCUGGAUCACACUCACUCUCUCUUCUUACAGUCAAAAUGACUUAAACUUACAGACACUGUGAAUUUCCAAACAGCACAGAUCAUGUCUGAAGCUUUAAGAGCG